GACGAGGGGUCCUAGCGUUGUUCGGAAUCAUUGGGCGUAAAGGGUAUGUAGGCGGCUAAGAUAGUCAGGUGUGAAAGCCCUGGGCUUAACCUAGGAAGUGCACUUGAUACUACUUGGCUAGAAUAUCAGAGAGGGUAGUGGAAUUCCUGGUGUAGUGGUGAAAUACGUAGAUAUCAGGAGGAACACCGGCGGCGAAGGCGGCUGCCUGGCUGAAUAUUGACGCUGAAAUACGAAAGCGUGGGGAGCAAAC
rnacentral:rRNA from 1 species